GGUUUUACCACUCUACACAGAUGAAGGUGUCCCACUCUACACAGAUGAAGGUGUACCACUCUACACAGAUGAAGGUGUCCCACUCUACACAGAUGAAGGUGU